rnacentral:rRNA from 1 species
CUAACAAGGAUUCCCUCAGUAACGGCGAGUGAAGCGGGACCAGCUCAAAUUUGAAAUCUCCGAUGCCUGCAUCGGCGAGUUGUAGUUGCGAGAAGCACUUUCUAGGUGGAUCGGUCGUGCCUAAGUUGCUUGGAACAGCACGUCGCAGAGGGUGACAACCCCGUCUGUGGCGCGGCCGGCCGCCGACGAUGUGCUUUCGAAGAGUCGGGUUGUUUGGGAAUGCAGCCCAAAACGGGUGGUAAACUCCAUCUAAAGCUAAAUACUGGCGUGAGACCGAUAGCGAAGGAAACGAAUGGACUCAGCAAUGCGCCCUUUGAGAUUCAGCCGGUGGGUGGGAUCGGCCGGGGGUUUGCGGAUCCGAACGGACCGCGGUCUCCGGCUCGUUCCUCCCCGCCGUCGCACUUCUCUUGGGCGCGCGUCAACGUCGGUUGGGACCGGGUCUUAAAGUUGCCGGGAAGGUAGGUAUGGACCUUCGGGUUCGUUCUAUUAGAGCCCGGCCUCUCAUGGCUCGAGCCCGACCGAGGAGUCGCAGCGCAUGCCUCUUGUGGCUAGGGUCCCGUCCUUCCGGCCGGUUGUCGAAUGCGGUGGACUGCUUGCAGUGCUCCGCGACUGCUGCCGGUCGUUGGGGUGGUGAUCU